UUUUUCAGUGUCAAGGUUUUUAAUAAAAUAUUUAUUGAUCUUUUUGUUUUAUGUCCAAUUCUAUCUUUCCCCAAAAAUCAUAAUCAUUGAUAGUGCAGGGGGAAAGAUAUGAAAUUAUUUUGUAACUGAUAGCAUGUGCAACAGAGGGCUGUGCACUCAAAAAAUACAUUUUAAAAUGAGUUUUGCUUACAAUUUUCUAAGUCUCAAGCAGUUAUAUAAUUAUUUACAUCAUAGAAAUUGUUAUUCCCUGACAAAUUGGAAAUAAACAAUGCAGACAUGGUGUGUAACUAUAGG
rnacentral:lncRNA from 1 species